rnacentral:rRNA from 1 species
GAUGAACGCUAGCGGCAGGCCUAACACAUGCAAGUCGAGGGGUAACUAGAGUGAUAGCAAUAUUACUUUGGCUAGACCGGCGCACGGGUGCGUAACACGUAUGCAACCUACCUUAUACUGGGGAAUAACUUCGAGAAAUCGGCGCUAAUACCCCAUAACAUUGCGAAGAGGCAUCUCUUUGCAAUUAAAGCUCCGGCGGUAUAAGAUGGGCAUGCGUCCAAUUAGCUAGUUGGUGAGGUAACGGCUCACCAAGGCUACGAUUGGUAGGGGUUCUGAGAGGAUGAUCCCCCACACUGGUACUGAGACACGGACCAGACUCCUACGGGAGGCAGCAGUGAGGAAUAUUGCGCAAUGGACGAAAGUCUGACGCAGCCAUGCCGCGUGCAGGAUGACGGCCCUAUGGGUUGUAAACUGCUUUUGUACGGGAAUAAACCCUUCUACGUGUAGGAGGCUGAAGGUACCGUAAGAACAAGCACCGGCUAACUCCGUGCCAGCAGCCGCUGUAA